GAUGAACGCUGGCGGCGUGCCUAAUACAUGCAAGUCGAGCGAACGGACGAGAAGCUUGCUUCUCUGAUGUUAGCGGCGGACGGGUGAGUAACACGUGGAUAACCUACCUAUAAGACUGGGAUAACUUCGGGAAACCGGAGCUAAUACCGGAUAAUAUUUUGAACCGCAUGGUUCAAAAGUGAAAGACGGUCUUGCUGUCACUUAUAGAUGGAUCCGCGCUGCAUUAGCUAGUUGGUAAGGUAACGGCUUACCAAGGCAACGAUGCAUAGCCGACCUGAGAGGGUGAUCGGCCACACUGGAACUGAGACACGGUCCAGACUCCUACGGGAGGCAGCAGUAGGGAAUCUUCCGCAAUGGGCGAAAGCCUGACGGAGCAACGCCGCGUGAGUGAUGAAGGUCUUCGGAUCGUAAAACUCUGUUAUUAGGGAAGAACAUAUGUGUAAGUAACUGUGCACAUCUUGACGGUACCUAAUCAGAAAGCCACGGCUAACUACGUGCCAGCAGCCGCGGUAAUACGUAGGUGGCAAGCGUUAUCCGGAAUUAUUGGGCGUAAAGCGCGCGUAGGCGGUUUUUUAAGUCUGAUGUGAAAGCCCACGGCUCAACCGUGGAGGGUCAUUGGAAACUGGAAAACUUGAGUGCAGAAGAGGAAAGUGGAAUUCCAUGUGUAGCGGUGAAAUGCGCAGAGAUAUGGAGGAACACCAGUGGCGAAGGCGACUUUCUGGUCUGUAACUGACGCUGAUGUGCGAAAGCGUGGGGAUCAAACAGGAUUAGAUACCCUGGUAGUCCACGCCGUAAACGAUGAGUGCUAAGUGUUAGGGGGUUUCCGCCCCUUAGUGCUGCAGCUAACGCAUUAAGCACUCCGCCUGGGGAGUACGACCGCAAGGUUGAAACUCAAAGGAAUUGACGGGGACCCGCACAAGCGGUGGAGCAUGUGGUUUAAUUCGAAGCAACGCGAGGAACCUUACCAAAUCUUGACAUCCUUUGACAACUCUAGAGAUAGAGCUUUCCCCUUCGGGGGACAAAGUGACAGGUGGUGCAUGGUUGUCGUCAGCUCGUGUCGUGAGAUGUUGGGUUAAGUCCCGCAACGAGCGCAACCCUUAAGCUUAGUUGCCAUCAUUAAGUUGGGCACUCUAAGUUGACUGCCGGUGACAAACCGGAGGAAGGUGGGGAUGACGUCAAAUCAUCAUGCCCCUUAUGAUUUGGGCUACACACGUGCUACAAUGGACAAUACAAAGGGCAGCGAAACCGUGAGGUCAAGCAAAUCCCAUAAAGUUGUUCUCAGUUCGGAUUGUAGUCUGCAACUCGACUACAUGAAGCUGGAAUCGCUAGUAAUCGUAGAUCAGCAUGCUACGGUGAAUACGUUCCCGGGUCU
rnacentral:rRNA from 1 species